CCUGGUGGCUCAGAUGGUAAAGCCUCUGCCUGCAAUGCAGGAGGCCCGGGUUCAAUCCCUGGGUCAGGA
rnacentral:tRNA from 1 species